UUUCAUUAAUCAUGGUUGAAAAGUCCAAGGAAAGGAGGGUGGCUUACUGCAGAAGAUGUGUGUGUCUCUCUAAAAUUUUCGUUUCUCUGACUAAAAGGGGAUCUAGGGCUGUGAUGUGCUGCUUCAAUCCGACAUGAUUUUAACGGCAAUGAUGCAGUUGUCGAGACAGUUAUUAGCGAGGAGAUCAACGGUGAGCUACGAUGGAGAUUCUUGGAGAAGUUCUUUUUGGUAUAUCUGUUGCUGGAGGUGUUAAAUUAGGUCCUCUAGAUUCUUGAGGACCCAUCAAUACGGUCACGUUUUUGGGGUACGAUGCAUUUAAGACCAAGCAAAAGGCCAGUCAGCAGAACAUUCAUCUGGAGGAGGCGGCAGUGCUGUCUAAUUUGGGGGCAGUGUAUAGUUAGAUUGGGUUGACAUAUGAUCGUGCCACCAUGAAGGGGCAGCGGGAGGCAUUGCACGCAUUCAUGGCGGUGGUCGGAGCCUUUCCUUAUUUGAGAGAUUAUGCGUCCACAAAGGGGUUAUAUCUCGUUUUCUUAUUUCCUCAUUGAUGUUGUUUAAAUCAGGAAAAUUAAGUCUUCUUCUGUAUUUCUUGUAACUCAUACUGUAUCUUCUUAAUCAAGAAGAUUAAGAAGAUAAACAACAUUACCAACAAAUAUAUGAUAAACUUGGCAAAUCACAUAUGGCAGCUUCUCCA